AGUGCGUGCCACCACACCCGGCUAAUUUUUGUAUUUUUAGUAGAGGCAGGGUUUCACUAUGUUGGCCAGGCUGGUCUCGAACUCCCGACCUCAUGAUCCACCUACCUCAACCUCCCAAAGUUCUGGGAUUAAGGCAUGAGCCACCACACCCGGCCUCCCCACCCAGCCCCCCUCUGCUUUUUUUUUUUUUUUAAGACAGAGUCUCACUCUGUUGCCCAGGCUGAAGUACAGUGGCACAGUCAUGACUCACUACAACCUCCGCCUCCUGUGCUCAAGUGAUCCUCCCACCUCAGCCUCCAGAGUAGCUGGGAGUACAGGCAUGCACCACCAGACCUGGCUAUUUUUAAAAUUUUUUUGUAGAGACAAGAGAUGGAGUCUCACCGU
rnacentral:lncRNA from 10 species